rnacentral:rRNA from 1 species
UGCUUAACACAUGCAAGUCGAACGGUAACAGGCCUUCGGGCGCUGACGAGUGGCGGACGGGUGAGUAACGCGUAGGAAUCUGCCUCAUAGUGGGGGACAACGUGGGGAAACUCACGCUAAUACCGCAUACGCCCUACGGGGGAAAGGAGGGGAUCUUCGGACCUUUCGCUAUGAGAUGAGCCUGCGUUAGAUUAGCUAGUUGGUAGGGUAAAGGCCUACCAAGGCGACGAUCUAUAGCUGGUCUGAGAGGACGAUCAGCCACACUGGGACUGAGACACGGCCCAGACUCCUACGGGAGGCAGCAGUGGGGAAUAUUGGACAAUGGGCGAAAGCCUGAUCCAGCAAUACCGCGUGUGUGAAGAAGGCCUUAGGGUUGUAAAGCACUUUCAAUUGGGAGGAAAACCUGCCGGCCAAUACCCGGUAGCUUGACAUUACCUUUAGAAGAAGCACCGGCUAACUCCGUGCCAGCAGCCGCGGUAAUACGGAGGGUGCGAGCGUUAAUCGGAAUUACUGGGCGUAAAGCGUGCGUAGGCGGUUCGUUAAGUCAGAUGUGAAAGCCCUGGGCUCAACCUGGGAACUGCAUUUGAAACUGGCGGACUAGGGUUUAGUAGAGGGGAGUGGAAUUUCAGGUGUAGCGGUGAAAUGCGUAGAUAUCUGAAGGAACACCAGUGGCGAAGGCGACUCCCUGGACUAGAACUGACGCUGAGGUACGAAAGCGUGGGUAGCAAACAGGAUUAGAUACCCUGGUAG